rnacentral:rRNA from 1 species
GAUGAACGCUGGCGGCGUGCCUAAUACAUGCAAGUCGAGCGAACGGACGAGAAGCUUGCUUCUCUGAUGUUAGCGGCGGACGGGUGAGUAACACGUGGAUAACCUACCUAUAAGACUGGGAUAACUUCGGGAAACCGGAGCUAAUACCGGAUAAUAUUUUGAACCGCAUGGUUCAAAAGUGAAAGACGGUUUUGCUGUCACUUAUAGAUGGAUCCGGGCUGCAUUAGCUAGUUGGUAAGGUAACGGCUUACCAAGGCAACGAUGCAUAGCCGACCUGAGAGGGUGAUCGGCCACACUGGAACUGAGACACGGUCCAGACUCCUACGGGAGGCAGCAGUAGGGAAUCUUCCGCAAUGGGCGAAAGCCUGACGGAGCAACGCCGCGUGAGUGAUGAAGGUCUUCGGAUCGUAAAACUCUGUUAUUAGGGAAGAACAUAUGUGUAAGUAACUGUGCACAUCUUGACGGUACCUAAUCAGAAAGCCACGGCUAACUACGUG